GCGUCUUCAGCUCUCGAGAGGGAUCUGGGAAUGGUAGGAGAGGGGAGAAGGGCAGAGUCAGCCCAGGGCAGGGCCCCACAGGCCUGACCCCCUCCCCCAACUACAGUGCAGGUCCUACCUGGGAAACGCCCUGGCCUCAGGGCACCGCCCCGGCCUGCGAGAAGAGACAGGCCCACAGAUGUGGAGAGAAAGAGAGAGAGAACCUCAACAGUGGACAGAGAAAAAGCCUGGACAAGCAGCAGGGAGGAAUGAGGAAGCCCCAGCUGGCCCAGGAGGGCUGGUGGUGAGGGAUCAGGAGCCGGGCUUCUGACCCAGCUGUCCUGGGUCAGGUACGGGCCUGGCAAGCACCACAAAGGGAUGAGGAGAGGACCCAGGAGCCCAGCGAGACAUUGGGAACCCAUCCUCCAGGACUCAGCUGAAGACCAAGGCUAUCGUGGGACCAGCAGCCAGGUCUUGGCAGUCUCGAUCCACAGCAGGCUGUGAGCCCACCUGGCUGGGGGACUCGAGCCCGGGCCUCCGGGGCUCCUGGGCCAUGAGCCUCAUCUUCAUCACUCUCAGCAAAGUCAUCCAAGUUGCCCACAUCACUAGGCUUCACACUCAUGAGGCUUGCGAGACUCUGCAUGUCAUCGUCCCUGGGAGGCAGAGGUUAAAGGUGAGGGUGGAGUCAGAGGUCACAGGCCAGGAUCAAGGAGGGCAGGUAGGCACUCACGUGGCACGGCCCUCCCGCAGCAGCACCCCGGAAAGAGUGAGGCUCAGCUCAGCCUGCACCACCUUCACUGACUUUGGCUUCAGCCGCAGCCUCACUGGGACUUGGACAGGCACGGGCCCUGCAUGGCGGGCCAGGUCCACCUCGGCCGUGGCCAGCACCUUCCGCUGCCCCUUAGACUCCUGUGGGCCAGGGGAGAGACCAGGAGAAGGGGCAUCAGUGCUGUCCCAGGGUCCCCAAGAUUCCAGACCUGAGCCCACUCCAGACACUCACAUUUUCAAUAAUAAAUGUCCACUCUUUGGCCUCA